GAUCCUGGCUCAGAUUGAACGCUGGCGGUAUGCUUAACACAUGCAAGUCGAACGGUAACAGGCCUUCGGGCGCUGACGAGUGGCGGACGGGUGAGUAACGCGUAGGAAUCUGCCUCAUAGUGGGGGACAACGUGGGGAAACUCACGCUAAUACCGCAUACGCCCUACGGGGGAAAGCGGGGGAUCUUCGGACCUCGCGCUAUGAGAUGAGCCUGCGUUAGAUUAGCUAGUUGGUAGGGUAAAGGCCUACCAAGGCGACGAUCUAUAGCUGGUCUGAGAGGACGAUCAGCCACACUGGGACUGAGACACGGCCCAGACUCCUACGGGAGGCAGCAGUGGGGAAUAUUGGACAAUGGGCGCAAGCCUGAUCCAGCAAUACCGCGUGUGUGAAGAAGGCCUUAGGGUUGUAAAGCACUUUCAAUUGGGAGGAAAACCUGCCGGUCAAUACCCGGCAGCUUGACAUUACCUUUAGAAGAAGCACCGGCUAACUCCGUG
rnacentral:rRNA from 1 species